rnacentral:rRNA from 1 species
CUCUGAUCAGCCAUGCCGCGUGCAGGAAGACGGCCCUAUGGGUUGUAAACUGCUUUUAUAUAGGAAGAAACCUUUUCACGUGUGAGAAGCUGACGGUACUAUAAGAAUAAGGACCGGCUAACUCCGUGCCAGCAGCCGCGGUAAUACGGAGGGUCCGAGCGUUAUCCGGAAUCAUUGGGUUUAAAGGGUCCGUAGGCGGACAGCUCAGUCAGUGGUGAAAGUUUGCAGCUCAACUGUAAAAUUGCCAUUGAUACUGGUUGUCUUGAAUUAAUGUGAAGUGGUUAGAAUAAGUAGUGUAGCGGUGAAAUGCAUAGAUAUUACUUAGAAUACCAAUUGCGAAGGCAGAUCACUAACAUUAUAUUGACGCUGAUGGACGAAAGCGUGGGGAGCGAACAGGAUUAGAUACCCUGGUAGUCCACGCCGUAAACGAUGGAUACUAGCUGUUUGGUA